UACGUAGGCAGCGAGCGUUGUUCGGAGUUACUGGGCGUAAAGAGUGCGUAGGCGGUUUUCUAAGUUUGGUGUGAAAUCUCCCGGCUCAACUGGGAGGGUGCGCCGAAGACUGGAAGGCUUGAGUAUGGGAGAGGUAAGCGGAAUUCCUGGUGUAGCGGUGAAAUGCGUAGAUAUCAGGAGGAACACCAAUUGCGAAGACAGCUCGCUGGAACGUUACUGACGCUGAGACGCGAAAGCGUGGGGAGCAAACAGG
rnacentral:rRNA from 1 species